rnacentral:ribozyme from 1 species
UUUUUUUUUUUUUUUUUUUUUUUUUUUUUUUUUUUUUUUUUUC